UACGUAGGGUGCGAGCGUUGCUCGGAAUCACUGGGCGUAAAGGGCGCGUAGGCGGCGUUUUAAGUCGGGGGUGAAAGCCUGUGGCUCAACCACAGAAUGGCCUUCGAUACUGGGACGCUUGAGUAUGGUAGAGGUUGGUGGAACUGCGAGUGUAGAGGUGAAAUUCGUAGAUAUUCGCAAGAACACCGGUGGCGAAGGCGGCCAACUGGACCAUUACUGACGCUGAGGCGCGAAAGCGUGGGGAGGCAAACAGG
rnacentral:rRNA from 1 species